GUAGGGAAUAUUGCACAAUGGAGGAAACUCUGAUGCAGCGACGCCGCGUGAGUGAUGAAGGCCUUCGGGUCGUAAAGCUCUGUCGCAGGGGAAUAACACAAUGAAGGUACCCUGUAAGAAAGGAUCGGCUAACUUCGUGCCAGCAGCCGCGGUAAGACGAGGGAUCCUAGCGUUGUUCGGAAUCAUUGGGCGUAAAGUGGAUGUAGGUGGCUAUGUAAGUCAGAUGUGAAAGCCUGGGGCUCAACCCCAGAAGUGCAUUUGAUACUGCGUAGAGUGAGUGUCGGAGAGGUUACUAGAAUUGUUGGUGUAGUGGUGAAAUACGGAGAUAUCAACAGGAAUACCGGAGGCGAAGGCGGGUAACUUGCCGAACACUGACACUGAGAUCCGAAAGCGUGGGGAUCAAACAGGAUUAGAUACCCGAGUAGUCC
rnacentral:rRNA from 1 species